rnacentral:misc_RNA from 1 species
GAUGAAGAACGUAGCGAAAUGCGAUACUUGGUGUGAAUUGCAGAAUCCCGUGAACCAUCGAGUCUUUGAACGCAAGUUGCGCCCGAAGCCUCGGCUAAGGGCACGUCUGCCUGGGCGUCACGCAUCGCGUCUCCCCCAAACCGCCAAGGCGGAGGGGAAGGAAGAUGGCUUCCCGUGCCUCACCCGGCGCGGUUGGCCUAAAUUUGGAGCCCGCGGCACUUAGCUCUCGCGGCGAUAGGUGGUGAACAAGGCCUUGGCCGUGCAAACAACCCGCUGCGAAGCUCUAUGUCACGUGCGCUCGUCGGACCCUUUGAAGUUGCCUUCGGUGACUUAAAACCUUUGCGACCCCAGGUCAGGCGGGGCUACCCGCUGAGUUUAAGCAUAUCAAUAAGCGGAGG